UGGGGAAUCUUGCACAAUGGGGGAAACCCUGAUGCAGCGACGCCGCGUGAGCGAUGAAGGUUUUCGAAUCGUAAAGCUCUGUCCUAUGGGAAGAUAAUGACGGUACCAUAGGAGGAAGCCCCGGCUAACUACGUGCCAGCAGCCGCGGUAAUACGUAGGGGGCGAGCGUUGUCCGGAAUUACUGGGCGUAAAGGGUUCGCAGGCGGCAUGACAAGUCCGAUGUAAAAGGCGAAAGCUCAACUUUCGUAAGCAUCGGAAACUGUCAAGCUUGAGUGAAGGAGAGGCAAGUGGAAUUCCUAGUGUAGCGGUGGAAUGCGUAGAUAUAUGGAGGAACACCGGUGGCGAAAGCGGCUCUCUGGUCUGUAACUGACGCUGAGGCUCGAAAGCGUGGGGAGCGAACAGG
rnacentral:rRNA from 1 species